rnacentral:lncRNA from 1 species
GGAAACAAACGGGGACUUACCUCAAGUAGAGAUUGAAGGUAAGAAAGAAGAGGAAGAGAAUUCUUUUAAUGGAGAAUUCAUUAAAGUCGAAAAGUAAGAGAACACGGUGGCAGAAAGAAGCUCAGACUCAGAUCCUCCAAGCAGAGAAUUUCUAGAAGCACAAUAGAAGAUUAUUAUAGAAUUCUAAAUUUGUCAAUUAUUCAACUACUAGAGUGAAGUUAUUAAUUUUGAUUUUCAN